CAACACAAUGCCACUUGCCGAAACAAGCCAGACCUCACUCACGCUCGCUUGUCGAAGUUCGUGUCAGUGCAGACUUCGUGUUCGUGCCUUGCCUUCCUUGCCGAUUAUGGAGCAGAGACGCAAAUCAUCCGCCGUGUGGGACCAUUUUGAUGUCCCGGAGAAUAAGGUGAAAUGUCGAAUUUGCCGGGUCGAAUUGUCAUACACCAACAGAAGCACCUCCACCAUGCUGAGGCAUUAUCGGGCCAAGCAUGAGAAUGAAGUUCGCGAUACACCCAGUAUUACGCCAGGUUCCACGAAGCAGCUGUACUGGAAGGACCAACACACUUCUUUCCCAAACCUCUCCCACCUCGCAAAGGAGUUCCUUUGUACGCCAUAGUGAUGUGUCGUUCGCGAACGAUCCGGCUCCCAGAGCCGGCUCUUUGAAGUGAACGAUGGGAGCCGGCUCCCACCUCAUUGGGAGCCGGAACGGGAGGGUUAUAGUGAUGUGUCGUUCGUGAACGAGCCCGCUCUUAGAGCCGCCUUUUUUGUUUCUCCA